GUACAUCCAUUGCCGAUCCAUCUACAAAGUAUUACCAAACCAAAGAUAUUCUGAUCAUCCAUAGAAUUAUGAAGCAUAACAAACAUGAUACCAAUUUCAUAAAACUCAAAUAUUGCUGAAAAUUUAGAUAGAAAUACACAAAUUUAAAAUUCAGACCCAAACAACAUGAUACACUACGACAAACCAUCCACUUAGUACUAUCUAAGAGGACUUUAAGCAUCCUUGGGUGUCGAAGACAAAGAUUUAGCUGACCCAACCUCAUCCUGUGGAUUAUUUGUGUCUCCUACAACGGUAGUACUCAGUGGACCUGAAACCCUCGGGACUGGCGGUGGGGCAUAAUGACCACCAAAAGGAUGUUUCUGACCUGCCGUAACAGCAUCUUCGUGACAUCUUUCCAAAUAACGAAGCAUUACUCUCUCCACACUCCUAUUUUUUUUGGGCUUAUCGUGAGGGCCAAUUAUAGUUUCCCCUUGCCGCGAGAGGAACGACGAUCACCCCCCCCCCAAUCGCCACUCCCUCCAACCAUGUUGAUUGGACAACACUUUAUUUUUUAAAUUUGACAAUAAUAAAUUAGUAUUACAAACAAUUUAUUUAUCUCUUUGUACCACAAUUUAUUUAUUAGCUCAUAUUUGCAAAUGACUAAACUAUGAACAAAUUAUAUUUUUUUCCACAAUUUAUUUAGCUCAAACAUAACAUAUAAAUGAAAACUUUCUCUAUUGCAGCUUAUUCUAAAAAUGAAUAAUUACAAACCUCUAUUUAAUCUUAUUAUCUCUAUGUACCACAAUUUAUUUAGUUCAUAUUUGCAAAUGACUAAACUAUGAACAAAUUAUAUUUUUUGCCCACAAUUUAUUUAGUUCAUAUUUGUAAAGGACUAAACUAUGAAAUUAAUCUCUCUAUUAUUCCUCUA
rnacentral:lncRNA from 1 species